AUGCCGUCCUCGCCCGUCACCCGCACAGCCGGAACGCCGGCGGGUUCUGCAGCAACGGCUCGGGAACUGCCGGCCUCUGCGUCCGCAGCACCGCCGCCAGCCAGGCUGGAGCCGAGUCUGUCCCCAGCGUCUGCGCUCCUGCCGGUCACCGGAAACCAGCUAAUCCAGGAACAAUGCAAACAGAGAGGAGCAGCCAGGGUUUUGGCAACAGAUAUAGGCAAAUACCUUUUAUGUACGAUGUCAAGCGAAGCGUAUACAAUGAGGAGAAUUUCCAGCAGGAGCACAGGAGGAAGGGCCCCACUUCUGGGAACAUGGACAUCAACAUCACCACCUUCAAGCACCACGUCCAGUGCCGGUCUGACACUCAGUUUACUAACAAGGCAACUGAUUCCUCCCCUCAACGUCGCUUAUGCCGCCUUCUGCUCCUCAGUCAUUUACGUAAUUUUUGGAUCAUGUCAUCAAAUGUCCAUUGGCCCCUUCUUCCUUGUGAGUGCUCUGAUGAUCAACGUCCUGAAAGAGAGACCAUUCAACAAUGGUCACCUGAUCAUGGGAACUUUUGUCAAGGACGACUUCUCUGUCCCCACCUUCUACCUAAACUAUAACAGAUCCUUAAGUAUGGUGGCAUCCACAACUUUCCUGACUGGAAUUAUUCAGCUGUCCAUGGGUAUGCUGGGCAUGGGCUUCGUGGCCACGUACCUUCCGGAGGCUGCGACCAGUGCUUACCUCGCAGCUGUGGCGCUGCACAUCAUACUGGCCCAGAUGACCUGCAUCUUUGGCAUCAUGGUCAGUUUCCACGCUGGUCCCAUCGCCUUCAUCUACAACAUAAUUAACUACUGCAUAGCUCUUCCCAAAGCGAACUCCACCAGCAUCCUGCUGUUUCUCACUGCUGUAGUGGCUCUGAGAGUGAACAAGUGCAUCCGCAUCUCCUUCAACCGCUAUCCCAUCGAGUUCCCCAUGGAGCUGCUCCUGAUUCUUGGCUUCAGCAUGCUCACGAGCAGGAUAACCAUGGCCACAGAAAACAGCAAGAUGCUGAUCAACAUGAUCCCGUACAGCUUUGUGUUCCCCGAGACUCCAGAGUUUGGCAUUCUUAGCAGAAUUGUUUUACAAGCCCUGUCUUUAUCUGUAGUGAGCUCCUUUCUGCUCAUAUCUCUGGGCAAGAAGAUUGCCAACUUGCACAACUACAGAACCAAUUCCAACCAGGAUUUAAUAGCCAUUGGCCUGUGCAACUUGGUCAGCUCCUUCUUCAGAUGCUGUGUGUUUACGGGAGGGAUGGCCAGGACUAUUAUCCAGGACAAGUCUGGAGGAAGACAGCAGAAAAAACUGGCAUGCUUCUCAGCAAACAGACGGCCACAGCUGCAGACAGGGACCAACGCGUGCCUGACGCGUUCUCUUCAACCAGCUCUAUCUCCUCAGUUUGCCUCUCUGGUGGGCGCAGGGGUGAUGCUGCUGCUGAUGGUGAAGAUAGGGAGCUUCUUCGACAACCUGCCGAACGCUGUGCUGGCAGGGAUCAUUCUAAGCAAUGUGGUGCCCUACCUGGAAACCAUUUACAACUUACCCACCCUGUGGAGGCAGGACCAGUAUGAAUGUGUGGUUUGGAUGGUGACAUUCUCCGCUGCCAUUUUCCUGGGACUAGACGUUGGGCUGCUCAUCUCCCUGGUCUUCACGUUCUUUGUCAUCACUGUCCGCUCGCACAGAACCAAGAUCCUCGUCUUGGGUCAGAUCCCCAACACCAACAUUUACAGAAACGUUAAUGAGUACCGGGAGGUGAUCCUCAUCCCCGGGGUGAAGAUCCUGCAGUGCUGCAGCUCCAUCACGUUUGUUAACGUGUACCACCUCAAGCACAAGUUGUUAAAGGAGGUCAAUAUGGUGAAGUUGCCUCUUAAAGAAGAAGAGAUUUAUGCUCUGUUCCAUGAAAGUGAGACUAGUAUAGCAGAAAACAAACUUUGUAGGUGUUUCUGCGACUGUGAAGAGCUGGAGCCAGAGAGCAGGGUUGUCUACACAGAGCGAUAUGAGAACAAACAAGAGCAUGGGUCAUCCAUCAACCUGAUCCGCUGCUCCUACCUGGGCAGUGGGGACUCCAGCCAAACCACUUCCGAAGAACAGGUUCCCUACACAGUGUCUUCCACAUCACAGAGAAAUAUAGGGCAGAACUACGAGGACACGGAGAAAGCCUGGCUACCCAACAGCCCCCCAAGAAACAGCUCCCUACCACCGCCCGAGAACUCAGAAAGCUUAGCACAGAGCAGAUCCAGAUCUGUCAUCUUGCCUUACUCAGAUACCCAUACCAUCAUUCUGGACUUUUCCAUGGUGCACUAUGUGGAUAACCGGGCUUUGGUUGUAUUAAGGCAGAUGUGCAAUGCUUUCCACAAUGCUGACAUUUUGGUGCUCAUUUCAGGGUGUCACACCUCUGUGGUUAAGUUGUUCGAGAAGAAUGAUUUCUUUGAUGACGGCAUCACAAAGGCCCAGCUCUUCCUCAGCCUCCAUGACGCUGUGCUGUUUGCCUUGUCAAGGAAGUGUUCCGAGCCCUCAGACUUAAGCGUGGACGAGACUGAGACGGUGAUCCAGGAAACCUACUCAGAGUCAGACAAGAAUGACAAUCUGAGCAACCUGAGAUUUAAACCGGGUAAUGUCAUCAUGGAAGGUUCCCAACAUGCGAGUCCAAACUACACCAAGACCCAUAGGCCUGCUAAGAAUGACUUGGAGUUUGACCUGGACCCAGACCGCUUGCUGGCCUCUGAUCAGACGAGUGGGAUGGACCUCAAUCUAGACCUAGACUUGGACUUGGGCAGGGAGUCAGACCUAGACCCUGGGUCUGAGCUGGGUUCCGAGAUCCAAGCCAAACCCGAACUGGAGUCAGAGCUUGAGAUAGAUGUCCAGACAGAGCCUGAGACAGAGGAAGAGUCAGAAAGGGAGAGGAAGUCACAGCCAAGGACCAGGACAAGGGCUCAGAGCCCCUGGCAGAGCUACUUGACUGCUUAUCGCUUUGGUUCUACAAGCUCCCAGUCCGCAGGGCCGCCUCAGACGCCUCAGACACGCCCAGCAGAAAAGAGAUAGCCACACACUUGCCAGAACUCUACCCAGAACAACGAGGACGCAUGCCCUGGGAAAUGUGAGCGGGGAGGGACUCCGGAGGGAGCCAGCAGAAGGAAACCUGGGGACCCUUUCUUACGAUUGCAGCUUUGUUCUGGAUUGAGACAAGGGAGGAAAAGAUCAAGGGGAGGAAAGGAGCUGAGAGAUUCCCCUUCUCAACUCUCAAGAGGACCCAUCCCAGUCAGCACCUACAUCCCGGCUUCCGGCUUCCGGAAUUUUCUGCUGUCGACACCAUAGCCUCGGCUUAUUCUAGUGACUCCAGCAAAAUAAUACAAGCUCCCUCGGGGUUCUAGAGAUGGCUCUUUUCCCUGUCCAUCCCAGUCUGGGUUGGGUGAAAGCUCAAGUUGAUGCUGGGCCCUGGCCACCUCAGCAUCUCUUGCUGGCUUUCCUUAACCUCCAUCCCUCCAUUAAUUUAUUUAUCUUCUGUUCUCUGUAUGUUCACAAAACUACCACAAAGGCAAGAAAAGUUUCCUUUAGGGAUCUCCAUCUACACAGUGAGACUUUUCUGUCAGCAGAAAGUUGUCUCGGUGAUAGCUUUGGUUUCUUUUUCUUUCUUUCUUUCUUUUUUUUUUUUUUGGAGCUGGGGACCCAAAUGCAAGCGCUCUACCACUGAGCUAAAUCCCCAAUCCCUAGCUUUGAUUUCUUUAUUGUUUAUGUUCUCCAGUAGGAUGGAGAGAUGCCUCAGGAGACUUGCCUCUUUGGAUUCAGUUUGUACUUAGUGUAAUGUUUUAUCACCUUCAAGGUAAAAGAAUACAAGCCAGGCAUGAUGGCUCUCGCCUUUAAUCUCAGCCCUGAAUAGACAGAGGCUCACAGAGCUCUGUGAGUUCAAGGCCAACCAAGGCUAAUUAGUAAGAUCCCGAGUCAAAGCCAAAACAAAAAGAGAGAGAGAAUGUAUCUGGACGUGGUAGCACACACUUAUAACCCUGGUACUCGGGAGGCAGGGGCAGAAGGAUUGUGUGGAGUUUGAGGACAGCCUGGACUCCAUAGCCCUAACAGGACCCUAUCUCAAAAGAUCAGGAACAAGGAAAGGACCAGAGAAUGUUAGACUUGAGGACACAUGUGCCUUCAGGUUUAAGUUAUCAGAUUUAGAAGCUGCCUCAGCAGUGUUGGGGGAGAUUACAGGAACAGUCUUUACAAGUAUGUUACUUCAAGAGGAAUGGGAUUUUUUCAGAAAUUAAAUUCUGACACCGCCCAUGAGCAGCCAAAAAUAUAAUGGCUUUUGCUGCUGUCUGAAUAAUUCCACUUUUAAAAAGACUUGCAGAGAAAGGGGGAGGAAGCAUGUGCACCCAAGAGGCAAUGGAUACCAAAAAAAAAAAAAAAAAAAACCAAAACCACUCUUUGAGACAGGGUGUCAAAUAGCACAGGGCUAGCCUUGAAUGGUAUGUGAACAAGGAUAACCUUGAACUUCUGAUCUUCUUACCUCUACCUCCCCAGGGCUGGGUUUCCAGGCGUAUACCACCUCAAUUCACUGUACCUCAGGUCAUCCUGCAUGCGAGACACUUUAUCCACGGAGACACAGCCUCCGCCCUGGUAGCCACUAGUAUUGAAUUAUUUCCAGAAAGGUCAAGUCCAGAAAAGGCAACCUUUCUGAACCCGUGGUGAAGAGCACAGGAAGGUAAGAUGGUUUACAUAUGUAAAUUAAGUAGCAGAAGCUAGGGGCUGGAGAGACCGAUCAGCGGUUAAGAACACUGACUGGGGCUGGAGAGAUGGCUCAGUGGUUAAGAGAACUGACUGCUCUUCCAGAGGUCCUGAGUUCAAAUCCCAGCAACCACAUGGUGCACCUGUAAUGAGAUCUGAUGCCCUCUUCUGGUGUGUCUGAAGACAGCUUCUGUGUACUAUUAUAUAAUAAAUAAAUAAAUCUUAAAAAAAAAACAAAAAACAAAACAAAACAAAAAAAAAAAAACACUGACUGCUCUUCCAGAGGUCCUGAGUUCAAAUCCCAGCAACCAGGUGGUGGCUCACAGCCAUCUGUAAUGGGGUCUGAUGUCCUCUUCUGGUGUGUCUGAGGACAGCGACAGUGUACAUAUAUAUAAUAAAUAAAUCUUUAAAGAACAAAAA